ACAUGAGAUUUGAAUCUAGGAAAUACCAGACCUUGUCUUAUAAUCUAUAACAAUAGUUGCUACCUGAAAAGGGGAAGAAAAACACUCGACCCAAAUUGAGUUUACAUUAUUUGCAUGACUAAUUAUGUUUUUUUCUUUCGUGAUCAUCAGAAGCUGUAUCAAACAAAUGAGAAUUUGAAGUCCUGUCCUACUAAACAGUACUGCUCCAUCCUUGCUGAGCAUUUUGGAAUGGUAAACCUAAUACUACGUGACCGUUUAGCGAAAAACAACCAUCUGAGGCCGAUUGUCAGAAAACUGUGAAUUUCUUGAAUUCGGUCAGUUUGCUUUGGUACGGCACCCUUCUUUUCCUUCCCUUCAAAAGCGAAAGGACCUCUGAGCUUCCACCUCAUAUCCCAUCUACGAACAUGAAGGCACCUGUUACAAUGUCUUAACCAAGAUAGGUUGUGACAGUCCAGGAUACCCAGCCCAUUCCUGGAAGAAAGGCUAUUGCUGCUGCAAAAGGAGAAGCAUAGGCAAGGUUUUGAAUUAAAGGAUGAUCAUUAGAGUAUCGUGCUUCUCCAUAUUCACAGUCCUUUUAAUCGGUACCAAUCAGUCUGUCUAAAUUUUCUAUUCUUAAAGGUGGUAUGGUUGACAGGUGCUACAAAGUGUGGAUUUUGAACUUUGGAGUGAACAGAAAAUUGGAGGCAAGAAAUUCAACUCAAGAAUAGAGCAUGACUGUUGCUUUUCUGGUCCAUUUAGAACUUCCAAUAUUAUUCUGCAUGAAUAUGAUCAUCCCAUGGUAGAAGAAUUACAAGUUACCAGUAUCCAAAACGACUUGAGAUCAAAUUCAGCUGACACCUAGAAUGAGUUGAGAAAAAGAAAGGUUCCCCUUGCUAAGCUGCUGCUGUCUAGUUCAAGACCCAAUGAGCAGUUCAAGACCCAAUGAGCUUCCUAAUGAACUAUAAGAAAACCAAAAUCAUAUUUCACUGAUUUUAAGAAAUUGUGAAACCGAAAGGUCAGCAUUUUUGCGUUUACAUGAACUCAACUGACAAAGGCCUCUUGCCUGUGAAAUAGCGAAAUUACAAUUACCAAGUUUUUUUAUGGUAACAAACAGUAUAAAUGCAAAAAUACAUCCAGGGGGGACAGAAAACCACACGAGGGGAAGGGGGGAAAGGAGGAUAGAGUUGUUACAAGCACAUGAAAGCUGGUGAAGAUCAGGAACAACAUCAUCCCUACAAAUACAA